GCCAACGUAAAUUAACCCACCACAGGCAGCUGACUGGGGAAGGUCGCUAGCCUAAUCCUCGAACUCAUCGAAGUCCUGGAACUCCUGGAGAUCCGCCUCGACGCUUCUUCUUUACCUGAGCAUAGAUUGCACCAAAGGCAACCUGGUGUUUUGUGAAAGCAAGGGUGAGUACACAUCAACGUACUCAGCAAAUGUCCCGUUUGGCUGAAGUGGACUAGCUUUAUGUGGGGUUAAGGUCAAAGCAGUUGCUUUUAGUUAGUCAGGUAUUUAUUAUUAAUGGAAGCCAAGUUUUAUCAUAUAACCAACCCGUGAACCAUUUCCUCAUCGAGGAAACACCAUUAUCAUCAUCGAACCAGAAUAAUAAAUAGAACCAUUGUGUCUCAGAUCAUUUGUAUCUCUAAUCAAAGAGGAUCUCAAGGCCGCUCAUAACCGUGAGCACGGCUGAUAUAUCAGUUUCUAACCCUCUGCAGAGGUCGCACACUUUACCCAUGAGCCGUGAUUCCCGUUUUGCCCAGGGAUCAUGACUCCCCAUUGAUCACUUCCUAGGUGGUCCGGCAGGGUAUCACUACGUAGCCUUUACAAAGAUUCCCUAGAGGUCAUAGCCGCCCGUUAGGUUUCUCCAGUUUGAUAAACACAGCACUCCUCCCCGCAGGAGGGUGACUAACAAAAGCAAAACGAAAGAACCUCGGCACCCAGCCUCGGUAGAGCAAGCACUGUGCCUGGACCCCAUUGACGGCACGACGGCGAAGCAACUACACCUCUAGUUCCUCUAAUUAAUUAGCUAAGGGCAUCCCAUUUCACCCUCAUGGUUGCACUGUUAUCCCGGGUGGUCUCUCAACGAACAGGUCCUUACGGAGAGGUACUCGGGAAACAGCCCGAGUCCCCUUAAAUGCCACGAGUAUAUCAUCAUAUCGAGAAUAAAAUCGUAGUAUCAUCAUUGUAUCUCAUCAUGUUCAUUGAUUAAAGUAAAGCGCUAGCAUGUAGCUAACCAUAGUAACCCAAAAGGUAAAUCAAGGACAAGGUAAAUAGAAAGCUAGUAAAUCCUUAGGUUUCAAUUAAGUAGUGCGGGACAGUGAAUUAUAAACAGAUAGGACAUAAUGGGUCAGAGGACACUUGCCUUCACCAAACUGAUGCUCAGGUCUUCAAUCUCGUGGAACUCAAAGAACUGGAUCACUUGGUUGCCCACGCUUGAUCUUUGAUUCCUCGAAGCUCGAAAACGGAUCGCAAUCUAUUCGCGACGCAAAGCGAAGACAAACAGGCACAAGCAAACAAAUAUAUAUAUGCAUAAGAACAUUACACCAUACAAGAUAAAACAUUAUAGAAACGAGCAAUAUAAAAUAGAGAGCGCUUCUACGGUUACGCGAGGAUAAGAAACACGACGGUCAAGCUACAGUCGAGAAGUUAUCGCGUUUACGUUAAACAAAUAUUAACUAUAAUGUUUUAAUUUGACAAUAUCAAAUAUAAAUAAUUUCUACCAUUUAGUUUCGAUUAAUCUGCUACACUAACAGCUAUCAGUUAAAUAAGUAAUUUAAUUAAAACGAGAGAUUCUAAGUGAGGCGAAUCUAGGACGUGCGAAACAACACGACAGCGCGCGAACGAUGCGGGCACACACGCGACAUAGCACACGAACGACGCACAAGACAGCGCGCGCGACUAGCACGAACGACGCGCGAAACAGCACGCCACUGCGUGCUGAACAACACGCGCGACAGAGCGCGCGGACGACGCACGAACACACGUGACACUCGCGAACGACACGCGACAACGCGUGUGAACGGCACGCGCGACACACGCAAAACAACGUGCACGACAGUGCGCGACACACGAGCCAACGCGACUACGCGAACGACGUCGCGCGAACAGCUUGACGACGCGCAAACGAUGCUGCAGGCGAACAACACAACUACGAGCACAACAAACAAUUAAUUAAACAAAAGUACUUAAACUAAUAUUAAAUAAGUUAAUUAACAUUUAUAUUUAUAAAAGCACGAGUUAAAAUUAUAGACCCGUUAUAAUUAAAUUGUCAUUAUAAAUAAUCCCGACAACUAAACAAGAAUGGACCAAUCAGCGCGAGCGACUAUAACAAAAAUAAUUGAAUAACGUGUGGACAUCGUGAAACAGCGCACGAGGGCGACAGCUACAACGGCGCACGACAGCUCGCUCGACCGAGCGAGGGCACCCGGCAAGCACAACACGAUGACAUAGCGCGCGCAGAGCGGGCAACGGCGAGGCGAGCGGCGCGAAUGCGCGCACGCAGGGGGUAGACGAACGAGUUCUAGGGGGUAGAUGGAGGGGUAGCCAGACGCCAUCAGAGUCCCGACGACAUGCCACGUAUAUGUGAAAGCGAGUGCGCGCUAGCUGCGAGGAGGUGUUUUGGGGCUGUUGCGCACACGGUUCGGCAAAUUGCGUCGCGCGGGGGGGGGCAUGCAUAGGGGUAGACGCCUGCUGCCCAUCUCGACGAGCGAGGAUACGGGUAUGGCUCGACGACGAACGACGCGCACAGAGGCUGGGUUGAGGGCGCGCAGGACACGACGCAACGACGUGUGGGGGACACUUGGCCGUGCUGGCUGCGAGGAACUCAUGUGAGGGGGGAUCGACAGGGGGAGUUUGCACCACGGCCAUGCUGGGACAGACUGCGCAACGGCAGCGGCUCGCCGUGGCGGCCGGACGGGCAUGGAGCGAGGGUGGCCAGGCGGGCUGCUCACGCGAGGAGGCUCCGGCUGCACGUCGGCCUGCUAUUAGCUACGCGUUGAUAGGAAAGAGAAGCGAGAGGAGAGAGGGAGAAGAAGAGGAGCUCACCUCAUGCUCGCAACGUCGGCCGGCGGUGCUGCGAAUCGGCACGAACAGCAGUGGCGAGCGUGCAGGGAGCGGCGACUGGGCAGCGCGCGCUAGGGGCGGCGGCUGGGCGAGCGUGCGCUAGGGUUCGCGCUGCGCGCGCGAGUGGCUGUGCAGCGGCUGGGCGAGCGGCGCGCGCUGGGCUGGGGCGCGGAGGCAGCAGCUGGCGCGCGGCUGGGCCACGAAAGCAGGCCGGGGUGGGGGUGCACCUGGGCCGUUCGUGAAGGACGAGCUGGGCCGAGUGAUUUGAG
rnacentral:lncRNA from 1 species